rnacentral:rRNA from 2 species
ACUGGGAUUGCCUUAGUAACGGCGAGUGAAGCGGCAAAAGCUCAAAUUUGAAAUCUGGUACCUUUGGUGCCCGAGUUGUAAUUUGUAGAGUACCACUUUGGGACUAUACUUUGCCUAUGUUCCUUGGAACAGGACGUCAUGGAGGGUGAGAAUCCCGUGUGGCGAGGGUGUUAGUUCUUUGUAAAGGGUGCUCGAAGAGUCGAGUUGUUUGGGAAUGCAGCUCUAAGUGGGUGGUAAAUUCCAUCUAAAGCUAAAUACAGGCGAGAGACCGAUAGCGAACAAGUACAGUGAUGGAAAGAUGAAAAGAACUUUGAAAAGAGAGUGAAAAAGUACGUGAAAUUGUUGAAAGGGAAGGGCAUUUGAUCAGACAUGGUGUUUUGCGCCCCUCGCUCCUUGUGGGUGGGGGACUCUCGCAGCUCACUGGGCCAGCAUCAGUUUUUGCGGCAGGACAAAACCUUGGGAAUGUAGCUGUGCGCCUCGGUGUACAGUGUUAUAGCUCUUGGGAAUACUGCCAGCGGGGACUGAGGACUGCGAUACUUGUUAUCUAGGAUGCUGGCAUAAUGGUUAUAUGCCGCCCGUCUUGAAACACGGACCAAGGAGUCUAACGUCUAUGCGAGUGUUUGGGUGUUAAACCCGUACGCGUAAUGAAAGUGAACGUAGGUUGGGGCCCUGUUAUGGGGUGCACAAUCGACCGAUCCUGAUGUCUUCGGAUGGAUUUGAGUAAGAGCAUAGCUGUUGGGACCCGAAAGAUGGUGAACUAUGCCUGAAUAGGGUGAAGCCAGAGGAAACUCUGGUGGAGGCUCGUAGCGGUUCUGACGUGCAAAUCGAUCGUCGAAUUUGGGUAUAGG